rnacentral:rRNA from 1 species
GACGAACGCUGGCGGCGUGCCUAAUACAUGCAAGUCGAACGCAGUGGGGACGGGUGAGUAACCCGUGGGUAACCUCCCAUCAGAGGUGAUAACACUUGGAAACAGGUGCUAAACCGCUACUGAUGGAUGGUCCCGCGGUGCAUUAGCUAGUUGGUGAGGUAACGGCGCACACAGGCCACGAUGCAUAGCAGACCUGGAAGGGUGAUCGGCCACACGGGGACGGAGACACGGCCCAGACUCCUACGGGAGGCAGCAGGAGGGAAUCGUAGGAAAUGGACGAAAGUCUGACCGAGCAACGCCGCGUGAGUGAAGAAGGUUUUCGGAUCGUAAAACUCUGUUGUUAGAGAAGCGGUAUCUAACCAGAAAGCCACGGCUAACUACGUGCCAGCCGCCGCGGUAAUUC